CUAGCUUGCUAGAAGAUGACGAGUGGCGGACGGGUGAGUAAUGCUUGGGAACUUGCCUUUGCGAGGGGGAUAACAGUUGGAAACGACUGCUAAUACCGCAUAAUGUCUUCGGACCAAACGGGGCUUAGGCUCCGGCGCAAAGAGAGGCCCAAGUGAGAUUAGCUAGUUGGUGAGGUAAAGGCUCACCAAGGCAACGAUCUCUAGCUGUUCUGAGAGGAAGAUCAGCCACACUGGGACUGAGACACGGCCCAGACUCCUACGGGAGGCAGCAGUGGGGAAUAUUGCACAAUGGGCGAAAGCCUGAUGCAGCCAUGCCGCGUGUGUGAAGAAGGCCUUCGGGUUGUAAAGCACUUUCAGUUGUGAGGAAAAGUUGGUAGUUAAUACCUGCCAGCCGUGACGUUAACAACAGAAGAAGCACCGGCUAACUCCGUGCCAGCAGCCGCGGUAAUACGGAGGGUGCGAGCGUUAAUCGGAAUUACUGGGCGUAAAGCGCACGCAGG
rnacentral:rRNA from 1 species